rnacentral:rRNA from 1 species
CCCUUAGAUGUCCUGGGCCGCACGCGUGCUACACUGACGCCUACAGCGAGUACUUCCCAGCCCCGAGAGGCGGCUGGUAAUCAGCAAUAGGCGUCGUGAUGGGGAUAGAUCUUUGGAAUUAUGGAUCUUGAACGAGGAAUGCCUAGUAAGCGCAGGUCAUUAGCCUGCGCUGAUUACGUCCCUGCCCUUUGUACACACCGCCCGUCGCACCUACCGAUUGAAUGGUCCGGUGAAGCCUCCGGAUUGGCGUGCACCCUCGGGUGCUGCCGAGAAGUUGGCUAAACCUUACCAUUUAGAGGAAGGUGAAGUCGUANCA